GGAUUACCGCUCGUAUACGCGCCAUCCCCUCCCUAUCCCUUCGUUACUCUCACCGCGGCCGCCGCAUUCUCGUUCAUGCUCCUCUCCGUUCUCGGUUCUCUUUUCUACUGGUCGUCGAUUGCUUCCUCUAAUCUCUCCCUUCUCCUUCUUUCUUUAUUCUGCAGUGGUAGAUCUUUUAUCGGUAACUAAUAUGUGCGCGGGAAACAGUCAAAUGAUUUCCCCUGAUUUUUUUUGUUCCCCAUCCCUUUCCCUCAUCAGAUCUUGCAAUUGGAUGCAAAUUUCGUUUGAUUCCUUGUUAGUUACGUCUAGAUUCACUUUUCCUUCUCAAAUUUGCACUGCAGGGAUUGGAUUCGUGUUCUUGCCUUGCCCCUAGCACUGCUGCCGGUGGUAACAAGAAAUCCACUUCCCCUUCUCUGAAUUUUGACCGUUCUAUGCCCAAGGAGAUUGUGGAGGUUGUCAUAGGUGGGAUCUGGUUGCUCUGAAGUUGUAGCUACCUCAGAGGAACGUUGAUAUCGUGAUACCGUUCAAUAGGCAUCCAACGGCAACACACAGGAAGCAGCGUUGCUCUGGUUUGGCCCAAAAUCGUGAUGUCCGGCCUGCUUGCUAAGGCCCAUUUGCGGAUGAAUCUGAGAGGUAAAACAAAUGCGCGAGACUGACGGGGAAAGGCGCCAGAGCGACAAAAACGGCGCGAGACCGACGGAAAAGAACGGGAGGAGCGUCUGACCGUCACCUCGCCGGACGCCUCGCCGAACCCACCGGCUCACUGUAAUUUUCCUCACGGCUCACUGUAAUUGAUCAAUUUGUCCGUCGAUAUUUUACCGUAAAAUCCAUCAAGGCAUAUCUUCAAGAUGGUAAGAUGUAGGUAGUGUGUCGCCGAUAUCAGAAACACAAAAGUACAAGGAACACAAAGUCCAGACAGGUUUGGGUCACUGAGAGCGUAA